GACGAACGCUGGCGGCGUGCUUAACACAUGCAAGUCGAACGGAAAGGCCCUUCGGGGGACGCGAGUGGCGAACGGGAGAGUAACACGUGGGUGAGCGGCCCUGCACUUUGGGAUAAGCCUGGGAAACGGGGUCUAAUACCGGAAAGGACCACGGCAUUCAUGUGCUGUGGUGGAAAGCUUUUGCGGUGGGGGAUGGGGCCGCGGCCUAUCAGCUUGUUGGUGGGGUAGUGGCCUACCAAGGCGACGACGGGUAGCCGGCCUGAGAGGGUGACCGGCCACACUGGGACUGAGAUACGGCCCAGACUCCUACGGGAGGCAGCAGUGGGGAAUAUUGCACAAUGGGCGCAAGCCUGAUGCAGCGACGCCGCGUGCGGGAUGACGGCCUUCGGGUUGUAAACCUCUUUCGCCUGGGACGAAGCGCGAGUGACGGUACCUGGAGAAGAAGGACCGGCCAACUACGUG
rnacentral:rRNA from 1 species